rnacentral:rRNA from 1 species
UACGAAGGGGGCGAGCGUUGUUCGGAUUUACUGGGCGUAAAGGGUGUGUAGGCGGUUGCUUAAGUUUGGUGUGAAAUCUCCCGGCUCAACCGGGAGGGUGCGCCGAAUACUGAGUGACUAGAGUGCGGGAGAGGAAAGUGGAAUUCCUGGUGUAGCGGUGAAAUGCGUAGAUAUCAGGAGGAACACCGGUGGUGUAGACGGCUUUCUGGACCGUAACUGACGCUGAGACACGAAAGCGUGGGUAGCAAACAGG